UACAGAGGUCUCAAGCGUUGUUCGGAUUCAUUGGGCGUAAAGGGUGUGUAGGUGGCGCGCUAAGUCGGGUGUGAAAUUUCGGAGCUUAACUCCGAAACUGCAUUCGAUACUGGCGUGCUUGAGGACUGGAGAGGAGACUGGAAUUCAUGGUGUAGCAGUGAAAUGCAUAGAUACAAUCAAGAACUCCGAUUGCGUAGGCAGCUAACUAGGCUGUAACUGACGCUGAGGCACGAAAGCGUGGGGAGCGAACAGG
rnacentral:rRNA from 1 species